CUGAUGAGCAGAUUUGGUGCCUGGGCAGGCUGCCUGUGGUGCGCUAGACCUAACCUCCAGCUACUCCUGCCUGAGGCUGCGAGGAAAAGGGAGGGAGCACACCUCAGCGUAAGUGCGACGGGCAUGGUAACAGUUGCCCACAGGUGGCAGGAGCAGAUGCUGGAUCCGUGAUCUGUUUUUACCUGCUGGCUUGACAGAAGAUAGAUGCCAAGCUUCAAGG